UAUAGAACUGUAGGUAUCAGAUGCUCUGUUUAGUUAGCGUGCUAUAGAACUGUAGGUAUCAGAUGCUCUGUUUAGUUAGCGUGCUAUAGAACUGUAGGUAUCAGAUGCUCUGUUUAGUUAGCGUGCUAUAGAACUGUAGGUAUCAGAUGCUCUGUUUAGUUAGCGUGCUAUAGAACUGUAGGUAUCAGAUGCUCUGUUUAGUUAGCGUGCUAUUGAACUGUAGGUAUCAGAUGCUCUGUUUAGUUAGCGUGCUAUAGAACUGUAGGUAUCAGAUGCUCUGUUUAGUUAGCGUGCUAUAGAACUGUAGGUAUCAGAUGCUCUGUUUAGUUAGCGUGCUAUAGAACUGUAGGUAUCAGAUGCUCUGUUUAGUUAGCGUGCUAUAGAACUGUAGGUAUCAGAUGCUCUGUUUCGUUAGCGUGCUAUAGAACUGUAGGUAUCAGAUGCUCUGUUUCGUUAGCGUGCUAUAGAACUGUAGGUAUCAGAUGCUCUGUUUAGUUAGCGUGCUAUAGAACUGUAGGUAUCAGAUGCUCUGUUUAGUUAGCGUGCUAUAGAACUGUAGGUAUCAGAUGCUCUGUUUAGUUAGCGUGCUAUAGAACUGUAGGUAUCAGAUGCUCUGUUUAGUUAGCGUGCUAUAGAACUGUAGGUAUCAGAUGCUCUGUUUAGUUAGCGUGCUAUAGAACUUUAGGUAUCAGAUGCUCUGUUUAGUUAGCGUGCUAUAGAACUUUAGGUAUCAGAUGCUCUGUUUCGUUAGCGUGCUAUAGAACUGUAGGUAUCAGAUGCUCUGUUUAGUUAGCGUGCUAUAGAACUGUAGGUAUCAGAUGCUCUGUUUAGUUAGCGUGCUAUAGAACUGUAGGUAUCAGAUGCUCUGUUUAGUUAGCGUGCUAUAGAACUGUAGGUAUCAGAUGCUCUGUUUAGUUAGCGUGCUAUAGAACUGUAGGUAUCAGAUGCUCUGUUUAGUUAGUGUCUCCUCCUCCUUCACCUCCCCUUCUCUCUAUCAUUUCCCCCUCCCCAGCUCUCCUUCUCUCUAUCAUGUCCACCUCUCCCCCUCCUUCCCCCUCCCCAGCUCUCCUUCUU